rnacentral:lncRNA from 1 species
CACACUUUCCAGAGAUGACGCUCUCUCUCUUUUUCUCUCUAAUACUUACAAGAAUAGAUAUCCAAGUUUAAUUGGUCUUGUUUUCUGCAUUCUGUAUUAACAGUGGUUGCAGUAAGUGCAGAUCAAGGUGUCCAACUGAUUGAGCUCAUGUGAAGUUUUAUGUUUAGUAUUUUUGGAAGCAAGGAAAGACUAAUAAACUCUAAACGAAAUAUAUACAGUAUACAAACACUGCUGUCACUUUUACACCAUAGAGGGAGGGGCAAAGCAUAGAGGAAUAGCUUAGUUUCUGGCCUUGCCGGUGUCCUAAACUUUUCUAAAAGAUUCAGGUUUCUCAAAGUUGCUCCUCUCAGGAGAAAAUCAGUAGGGGAAGAACUUACUUGGAUUUUUCAUAUGCUACUUAUGAGGCAGUUGAAGCGUAGAGCAGACACUUAGAUGAGGACACACUUUUACCCUUGGCUGUACCCUACUUGUUUACUAAUAAGCAUCAGGUAUUAUUCUAAACAGUACCUGAAUUUUAAAUAGAUUACGAACUACAACUUUCUGAUAUAACUUUAUUGCAUUUCUGAUACCUUUUAUUUUCCAGUACUUAGAAAAUAACUUGGUAAGACAUUGCCCGUCCCUGACAUGGACCAGAGUAACCAAUUGUCCUGUUUUGCCUGGGACAG